CCAUCCCAGUUCGGAUUGCAGGCUGCAACUCGCCUACAUGAAGCUGGAAUUGCUAGUAAUCACAGGUCAGCAUACUGUGGUGAAUACGUUCCCGGGCCUUGUACACACCGCCCGUCACACCAUGAGAGUUGAGAAUACCCGAAGUCCAUGUCAAAGUGGCCGAAGGUAGGCUUGAUGAUUGGGGUGAAGUCGUAACAAGGUACC
rnacentral:rRNA from 1 species